rnacentral:rRNA from 1 species
UACGUAGGGGGCAAGCGUUGUCCGGAUUUAUUGGGCGUAAAGAGCGUGUAGGCGGCCAUGCAGGUCAGCUGUGAAAACUCGAGGCUCAACCUCGAGACGUCGGUUGAAACCGUAUGGCUAGAGUCCGGAAGAGGAGAGUGGAAUUCCCGGUGUAGCGGUGAAAUGCGCAGAUAUCAGGAGGAACACCGGUGGCGAAGGCGGGUCUCUGGGCCGUAACUGACGCUGAGGAGCGAAAGCGUGGGGAGCGAACAGG